rnacentral:rRNA from 1 species
AAUGAACGCUGGCGGCGUGCUUAACACAUGCAAGUCGAACGAGAAGCCUUCGGGCGAGUAAAGUGGCGCACGGGUGAGUAACGCGUAGGCAACCUGCCCUUGUGUUGGGGAUAACACUUCGAAAGGGGUGCUAAUACCGGAUACGAUUCUUUGGCGAGAGCCGGAGGAUGAAAGUCGGCCGCUCAAAGAAGCUGACGCACGAGGAUGGGCCUGCGUCCUAUCAGCUAGUUGGCAGGGUAACGGCCUACCAAGGCGACGACGGGUAGCUGGUCUGAGAGGAUGAUCAGCCACACUGGCACUGGAACACGGGCCAGACUCCUACGGGUGGCAG